rnacentral:lncRNA from 1 species
GGGUACCGUGACAGAUACUGAGUGUUGUCCCUUUCCUCACCACCUUCACUAGAUGCAGCAAGAUUCCUAAAUUCACCUGCACUUUAGUUCAGGGGGUUUAUACAUCCACACAUGCAAUGGCUGAAAGAACGCCCCUGGCUGGAGGACUGAGCAGCAGUUGGUGAAACUCACAGGUUCUAUACUACAAAAACACCCUCCCCCCCCAAAAAAAAAAAAAUAUAACCACACCCUGCUUUUGGUGGGCAAUGCAGGGACCUACUUGAAAACCUUUUUGUACAGGAAAGUGGAAAUAUACUCAAGAAUAUACUCAAAGUGGGAAGUGGUGCCACCCUCAGCCCUAGGCUCACUUCAGCACCCCCCCACCCACACCCUGCAUGACAUUAGUUUAUUGUGAACAGCAGAACGCAUUUUAUUUUCAGGUGAAAAAAGCCAUGCUAGAGGUUACAACCCAUUUCCCCCAGCAGCCUUUAUGCAAUAACCCUCUCCCAGCCCAUUGCCCUGUCUGACACCCCUCACUCCCCCCCAGGGCGAUUUGGGGCCUCGCAGCGCCGUCCCUGCGGUUGGCGGAAAGCUGAGAGCCGCCCAGCCUCGCCCGGCCGCCCCGCGGCGCAGCGCUGCCACAGGCGGACCAGCGGCUCCUCCUCCGCUGCCAUCUUGGACGGGGCAGGCCAGGAGGCGCGCACGGCGCCAUCUUGGGAGAGGCGGGGGAGGAGGAGGCGCCGCCAUCUUGGGAGAGGCAGGGUCAGGGUGAGCCGCCAUAUUGAGCGCGGCGCCCACUGCGGGUAGCUGUGGCUGCAGAUCGCCUGAAACACGUUCGCAGAACACUCCAACACACACAUCCCUCUUUCCACGACCUUAGUCAAGGUGCCCAGAGAGAGACCAGACAUAGAGAGGCUAGAAACUUCACGUUUAACUGAGAAAACCCUCAUCUUCACACCCCAGGGUAGAUGCCACCCAUAUCCCAGCACAGUGACUGCUCUGGGAUAACGCCACGACAGCCCCAGCCCCGCUCACAGCAGGGCAGCUGAAAGCACAGCACCACACAAAGUCCCGGACAGAGGCACAGCUGCAGCCUCCCCCUGCUUUUUGAGCCAGUCGUUGGGUUCCUGUCAUGCUGGUGAGCGACACACAAGCAUCCUCCGUGCGAGGACACCAGCAGCAGCUCCCUUGGUGCUCACCUGCGCUCCUAGCACAGCCUGCAGAGAUUUCUUUAGGGCUGCAUUGCUGCCUUCCAGAGCAGCUGCCAGGCGGCUGCGGUGGGCUGGUGUGACCUGGGGGGGAGAGCAGCAAGGAGCUCAAAUGGACUCUGAGCCACAUCACACCAGCAGAGCCCCGUGUCCUUCCCACUGCAAGGAAUAGAUGCCCUGAAGGAGACCCCAGGGCCAGGUC